CUCCGCAGCUGCUGGCCCGGGUGCUAAGCCGCUCACUGCCUGGCGCCGGCGGCUCCGGCCAGCCGCUCUGAGUGCUGGGCCCGCCGAGCCCACGCCCACCCGGAACUCGCGCUGGCCAGCAAGCGCCGCGCGCAGCCCCGGUUCCCACCCGCGCCUCUCCCUCCACACCUCUGUGCAAGCUGAGGGAGCCGGCUCCGGCCUCGGCCAGCCCAGAAAAGGGCUCCCGCAGUGCAGCGGCGGGCUGAAGGGCUGCUGAAGCGCGGCAAGAGUGGGCGCCUAGGCCAAGGAGGCGCGGAGAGCGAGCGAGGCCUGUGAGUGCUGCCAGCACGCCGUCACCUCUCAAUAUGACUUAGGGAUCAUGGCUUAUUUGAGCUGUUGCUCCUCAGUGGACAUCAUAGGAUCUUGCAGAUGUGUAUCAAUCCUUCGCAAGUAGGUGAGUAAAGAUUCUAGUUCUAGUUUUCUGAAAAAUAGUUGGAAAUUUGUUUCAUUGCUAAGUUGUAAAUGUCAACAGCAAAAUUUAAAAAAGCAUCAUUUAAUAGAGAAUUUGAAUAUGUAAGUCAUAUAGUGUUUAUAGUCUAGAAAAUUGGAAGGAACAUUGCUUGGGGGUUGAAGACCUGCAUCCAGGAUUCCAUUCUGUACUAUUUUGGGUAAGUCACUUAUCCUCUCUAAACUUCUGCUUCAUAUUUGCAAAAUUAAAUUAUUUACACUUAGCGAUGUUUUUCAAUUUUAAAAAGCUGUAAUUAUGCCUUUUUAGUACUCUAGUUCCAGUGGAAACUUUUCAAACAAGCAGUUUUUAGGAGUAAAGAAAAUUAUUAAAAUAUGU
rnacentral:lncRNA from 10 species